UACUUUUUGAGGCUUGAAAAC
rnacentral:piRNA from 1 species